rnacentral:rRNA from 1 species
AUUGAACGCUGGCGGCAUGCUUUACACAUGCAAGUCGAACGGUAACAGGGAGCUUGCUCCGCUGACGAGUGGCGAACGGGUGAGUAAUAUAUCGGAACGUACCCAAGAGUGGGGGAUAACGUAGCGAAAGUUACGCUAAUACCGCAUACGAUCUAAGGAUGAAAGCAGGGGAUCUUCAGACCUUGUGCUCCUGGAGCGGCCGAUAUCUGAUUAGCUAGUUGGUGAGGUAAAGGCUCACCAAGGCGACGAUCAGUAGCUGGUCUGAGAGGACGACCAGCCACACUGGAACUGAGACACGGUCCAGACUCCUACGGGAGGCAGCAGUGGGGAAUUUUGGACAAUGGGCGCAAGCCUGAUCCAGCAAUGCCGCGUGAGUGAAGAAGGCCUUCGGGUUGUAAAGCUCUUUUGUCAGGGAAGAAACGGGAUUGGCUAAUAUCCAGUCCUAAUGACGGUACCUGAAGAAUAAGCACCGGCUAACUAC